rnacentral:misc_RNA from 1 species
CGGUCGUAACAAGGUUGAAUGUGAUCCUUUCUGCUCACGAGCAAACGGAAGCCUUAGCGGCCCCCGAAAGGGGGCGGCCGGUCGCGACUCAAAAUAAAGAGAACCAGCCAGUCUCGGUGCGGACCGAGUACGCUAGUCAGACAGGGGGUUUCUGGCGACACUAUCGAAUUGCGGGGAGUUUCCUUAGAGCCUUUGCUACCGCCCCCGCGUGGAAACAUGGCGGGUGGCACCAGGGUAAUGACCUCGGGCAUGGUAAAAAAGCGCAAAGGAUUGGAUAAUCCGCAGCCAAGCGCCUACGGCCCCUCUGGGGGCACGGCGAAGGUCCACAGACUAAGGUGGUAGUGGGUGUGAGCCGGUCUCAUGCUUAAGAUACAGUCGGGCCCCCUUGGGAAACCUUGGGGGGGCCCCGGGCCCUCAGACAUGAGCCCGGGGCAAGCUGUUCCGUAGGUGAACCUGCGGAAGGAUCAUUAAUGAGUUAGGGUCUCCGGGCCCCGACCUCCAACCCCUUUUGUUGUCACAAAACCCACUUUUGUUGCUUUGGCGUGGCCCGCCGGCCCCCCUCACGGGGGGUGGGCUGCCGGUCUUCGGCCCGGCAAGCGCCCGCCAGAGGCUCACCAAACUCUUGUUUUUGAACCGUACGUCCGAGUAAAAGUGAUUAAAUCAAUCAAAAC